rnacentral:lncRNA from 13 species
CCAGCCUCGGCCUCCCAAAGUGCUAGGGGGAGCCACCACACCUGGCCUCCCACAGGCUCUCAAAGCAAGAUAUCUAUUAUGCAAGAUGGGGAACAUCUUUUAUAUGUUUCCUAUGAAAUUUGUUUCCUUUUAAGGAAUUUUAUCUGAAAAUUGAUUACACGUCUCUACUUUCUUAUGUGACAUUCAUUCAAAAGGGACAUGUAUAGUCCAUAGACAGGCAACCAAAAGGAGAUUUACAGUCAUUGUGAAGGGCCAACAUACACAACCAUCUUUCAGCAGAACGUAUGAACUUCAGUGUCCAAAUGACAAUUCUGAUGGUUUAAAAGACGUUUGUCUUAUUUCUUUCUAGUUUUUUGGAAAGUUGUAGCAAUACUAAUUUUUAUUAGUAUAAUUAACAGUCAGAUGCCUUGACUGAUUCUUUACCAUCCUCAUUUACAGAUAAGGCAAAGAAAGAUUAGAGAAACUAAGCAUCCUAAGAUUUAUGACUAGAAAACAAUGGAGCUGGGAUUUGAAGCCAGAUCUGUACGGCCUGAUUUCUCAACCUCAUGUCUAUGCCAAAAAGCUAACAUUAUCAGGUGUUUUGACAGUCACUUCCUUCUGGAUCCCUGACUGCUCUGCUGCCUUUUUUAUGCCACCACAGUUCCCUGCAUGCAAUGACUUAGCUGUGAGUUCUUGAAGGGCAUAGAAAUGUCUGCUUUACCUCUAAUGCCUGGAUCUUAGGAAGUGCUCCUUAAAGUUUAGUGAAUUGCAGAUUGACUGCUGGGGUCCUGUUGUUAAUCUUACAAUCCUGUGAAUCUCUGUUGGAGAUGGUAUUUUAUUCACAUGCGUUUCCCUAAGCCUGAACACAGCACCUGACCCGGAUGAGGUAUUUAAG